rnacentral:lncRNA from 1 species
UGAACCGUGCGCCCACCAAGGAUGUCCACCUCCUCACCCCUGGGACCCGCAGCACUGAAGUGCAAUGCUUUUCCUAGGAAGACACACCCUUAAGCAUGUAGGUGUAGAGGGGCAUCAUGCUGCAACUUACAAAUGGUUCAGACCAAAAACUAAUAAAGAUGUAUAUACCUGGAGAGAAAAUGAUAAAGCAAAUGUGGGAAGAUGUUGACCGUUGGAGAACUUGGGGACCAUGGAUAGUAGUGACUCCUGAACCUGCAGUCAGCAUAAUGGUCACCAGAUUUUCCACUCGAAGUUCUAUUAUUUCAAAUAUUUUUCCUAAUAAAAAACAUUUAGGACAUGAGAAGACGCUCAACAUCGUUAGUCUAGGGACUUCAACUGCUCUAGGGAAAUGCAACUGAAAAUUACAAUGAGAGGCUACUACAUAUCCAUUAGGAACAGCUAUAAUAAAAAGGAGACAAUAGCAAAUGUAGACGGAGAAUGUGGAGAAACUGGAACACUCAUGCAUUGCUGAUGGGAACAUAAACUGGUGAAACUACUUUAGAAACAGUUGGCAGUUUUUUAAACAGCUAAACAUAAACUUAUCAUAUGAUCCAGUAAUUCUGCUCCUACGUAU